rnacentral:rRNA from 1 species
GAUGAACGCUGGCGGCAUGCCUAAUACAUGCAAGUCGAGCGAACAGACGAGGAGCUUGCUCCUCUGACGUUAGCGGCGGACGGGUGAGUAACACGUGGAUAACCUACCUAUAAGACUGGGAUAACUUCGGGAAACCGGAGCUAAUACCGGAUAAUAUAUUGAACCGCAUGGUUCAAUAGUGAAAGACGGUUUUGCUGUCACUUAUAGAUGGAUCCGCGCCGCAUUAGCUAGUUGGUAAGGUAACGGCUUACCAAGGCAACGAUGCGUAGCCGACCUGAGAGGGUGAUCGGCCACACUGGAACUGAGACACGCUCCAGACUCCUACGGGAGGCAGCAGUAGGGAAUCUUCCGCAAUGGGCGAAAGCCUGACGGAGCAACGCCGCGUGAGUGAUGAAGGUCUUCGGAUCGUAAAACUCUGUUAUUAGUGAAGAACAAAUGUGUAAGUAACUAUGCACAUCUUGACGGUACCUAAUCAGAAAGCCACGGCUAACUACGUG